CAAGCGGGCGGAGCAUGCGGAUUAAUUCGAUGCAACGCGAAGAACCUUACCCAAGGCUUGACAUAUACCGGAAACGGCCAGAGAUGGUCGCCCCCUUGUGGUCGGUAUACAGGUGGUGCAUGGUUGUCGUCAGCUCGUGUCGUGAGAUGUUGGGUUAAGUCCCGCAAACGAGCGCAACCCUCGUUCUAUGUUGCCAGCGGUUCGGCCGGGGACUCAUAGGAGUCUGCCGGGGUCAACUCGGAGGAAGGUGGGGAUGACGUCAAAUCAUCAUGCCCCUUAUGUCUUGGGCUUCACGCAUGCUACAAUGGCCGGUACAAAGGGCUGCGAUCCCGUAAGGUGGAGCGAAUCCCAAAAAACCGGGACACAGUUCGGAUUGAGGUCUGCAACUCGCCCUCAUGAAGUCGGAGUCGCUAGUAAUCGCAGUUCU
rnacentral:rRNA from 1 species